rnacentral:tRNA from 1 species
GGGUGGGUACCGAAGUGGUCAAACGGGACUGACUGUAAAUCAGUUGCCUUCGGGCUUCGGGGGUUCGAAUCCCUCCCCACCCACCA